GAUGAACGCUAGCUACAGGCUUAACACAUGCAAGUCGUGGGGCAUCAUGAUGUAGUAAUACAUUGAUGGCGACCGGCGCACGGGUGAGUAACGCGUAUCCAACCUACCCUCCACUCAAGUAUAGGCUUCCGAAAGGGAGAUUAAUCCUUGAUAUCGUCAUUCUCUCUCCUGUUAGAAUGAUAAAAGGACAUCGUUUCGGUAGAGGAUGGGGAUGCGUUCCAUUAGGUAGUAGGUGGUUUAACAGGCCACCUAGCCGAUGAUGGAUAGGGGUUCUGAGAGGAAUAUCCCCCACACUGGUACUGAGAUACGGACCAGACUCCUACGGGAGGCAGCAGUGAGGAAUAUUGGUCAAUGGGCGCAAGCCUGAACCAGCCAUGUAGCGUGAAGGAUGACGGUUUU
rnacentral:rRNA from 1 species